rnacentral:rRNA from 1 species
CCUACGGGAGGCAGCAGUGGGGGAUAUUGGACAAUGGAGGCAACUCUGACCCAGCAAUGCCGCGUGAGUGAUGAAGGUAAUUUUAUUGUAAAGCUCUUUUCUUUGGAACGAAUAAAUGACGGUACCAAAGGAAUAAGCCCCGGCUAACUACGUGCCAGCAGCCGCGGUAAUACGUAGGGGGCAAGCGUUGCUCGGGAUGACUGGGGGUAAAGGGUGUGUAGGGGGUUUGAUAAGUUAGAUGUGUAAUACCCAGAGCUUAACUCGGGUGCUGCAUCUAAAACUGUUAGACUUGAGUACAGGUGAGGAAAGUGGAAUGUCUGGUGUAGCGGUGGAAUGCUUAGAUAUUAGGAAGAACAUCGAUGGCGAAGGCAGCUAUCUGGACAGCAACUGACACUGAGGCACGAAAGCGUGGGGAGCAAACAGGAUUAGAUACCCGAGUAGUC